GACGAACGCUGGCGGCACGCCUAACACAUGCAAGUCGAACGGACUUAAACGGUAGCUUGCUCUUUUUAAGUUAGUGGCGGACGGGUGAGUAACACGUGAGCAACCUGCCUUUCUGAGGGGGAUAAACGUUUGGAAACGAACGCUAAUACCGCAUAACAUAUAUUUAUCGCAUGAUAGAUAUAUCAAAGGAGCAAUCCGCAGAAAGAUGGGCUCGCGUCUGAUUAGCUAGUUGGUGAGGUAAUGGCUCACCAAGGCAACGAUCAGUAGCCGGACUGAGAGGUUGAACGGCCACAUUGGGACUGAGACACGGCCCAGACUCCUACGGGAGGCAGCAGUGGGGAAUAUUGCACAAUGGGGGAAACCCUGAUGCAGCGAUGCCGCGUGGAGGAAGAAGGUUUUCGGAUUGUAAACUCCUGUCUUCAGGGACGAUAAUGACGGUACCUGAGGAGGAAGCACCGGCUAACUACGUG
rnacentral:rRNA from 1 species